rnacentral:lncRNA from 1 species
GUCUUCCAUUGUAGAAGGACUGACAGGUCUAAUUGUCAUUUCUGCUUCAGAAAUUUUUAAAAUGCAGUAUGUGAAAACAUGCUGACCCUUGGGAAAUAAGUGGGGCUGUUAAAAAUAAAUAGGUUCCAGCUUUUCAGGAAGAACAGAUUCACUACAGUGACGUAAAAACACCCAGCAGCUUGUCCCAGCCAUUUCCCAUGAGACACUGCUGAUUUAGGAAGAAACAGCAGCUCACACAGCUGCCUAGAAAUUUAAAUGCCAGGAUGUUACUUUUUGAAUCUCUUAUUUUUAAACACUGCUCACCUUUGACACAGUGACAGUAUUUGCACAAUCCCUUUAUAUCCUCAGAAACACCCUUUGAAGACUUUAAAAAAUUUUAAAAAAUAAAUUAACCUUAGUGGAGCAUCCUAAUAUGUCUUGAAAUAAACUGAGAUACUAGUAGUCUUAGGAAUAUCUUCUUAUUGUUGAAAAAGUUAUUUCAUAAAUAUUUCAUAUUAUUUGUUUUACAGUUUUUAAUUUUCUAUUGGAAGUCAUAGUGAGUCCCAAGCAUGUCUUAGCUGUUGUACCUGCAUACGUGCCUGCAAAGGACCAGUGUUGUAUUAUGACACAUUGGUGCACAGGGGUGCAGCAUGCAGUCAGCUUGAACCAAGGUAGAGAUGCAUGAAGCAAGUGCUGAAACAAAUUUAUCUGUGAAUGGAGUUACUGACUGGCAGCCACUUCUACUAGUUACAGCAGACCACUUCUCUGAUAGUACAGCUGCAGAAGUGUUACACAAAAUCAGUGUCCAUUUGAUAUGCAAAAUGAAGAGAUACAUUUAUGAUUAAAGAAGAACUACUCCUUUACAUCAGACCCUUUCACUUCAGAAGGAAAGCAAGUAAAAUUUCAGUAAGUAGCUAUGAAGUAACUUCUUAACUGAAUGAUCCAUUUAUUUACUUAUUUGGGCUCCAUUUAGCUUUUGGCUCAUAUCCUGCUGCAUGAAUGUUUACAUCCCAUACAAAUCACUCACAGCUUUCAAAUGCUUAUCUUUUUAAAACUCAACAGGAGAAAGAUGCAUGUAUAUUUAAAUUUAUUUCAAGGUUAAGUUAGGAAUGAAAGAUUAACAUAUAGUAAAGAAUAAAAGCCUGUUAAAUGUUAUUUCA